AGAGUCACAUAAGAGACAGAGCAAGUAAAAUAUUACGCUACAGUGCUACUGGCCCAUAAUCAGGCAACUGCAGAGUCUUAGGGGGUUAUCUAAUGUAGUCUUGGGGUGGCUGGAUAGACUUCCCAAAGAAGGUGAUGCCGAAGCUGAGGUCGGAAAUUACGAAGAUCAGCUAUAUUAUUUUGAGUGUUGGUGGCUCUUUUGGAGAGGAUUGCAUUUGAAAGACAGACACAACACUCAAACCCUUAGGUCCUGAGUACAGCGGAGUGAAAGCAAACUUGGAAAUCAUGUCUUAGAGAUCAAGGAGCCAAGAGAUGAGACAAGCCUGGGUUCCUAGGUGAUAGGGUGUGGCUGUGUCCCCACCCAAAUCUCGUCUUGAAUUGUAGCUCCCAUAAUCCCCACAUGUUGUGGAGGGACCCUGUGGAAGGAAGGCCUGAGGAGAGAAGACACAUAGUCAUGCUGACUAAACCAGAUCACCUAGAAUUACCAAAUGGAAAGAUUGUGCCUGCAGCCUGGCCUGUUGCCCACAGCGGUCUACCUGCCACACUGGGAAAGAUCGAGCAGAGACAGAGAAGAAAAGGAGGCUCCAUUUUUCAGGCUGCUCUCCCGCAGGCUCAUGUUUUGUGUUCAUGCCAGGCAGAGAACACAAAAUGUUCCAAUAAAUAAGUAUCAAAGGUUAGUGGUGAAAAUGAAGGAGGAGGAGGCAUUGCGUGAAAAACUAAACAUGCAAAAUAUUACACACAAAGAGAACCAAAAUGCAGGUUCACUGGAAAUGAUAGACAAUAUGUUAAAACAAGAGGAGAGAAGAGAGCUGAAAUAAUCAAAUGGAAACACACAAUUUAGGGCUAAGAUCUUGUUGUGUUCAGCCACAAAUGAUGGCCAGCAGUGAGGAAUCUGUGUGUUCUCCACACUCUUCGCUCCUGGGAAGUCAACUCACAUGGACCAUGAUAUCAAUAUCUGCUCCUUCCCCUAAUAUCUGUUUGACCUUGGGUCAGUUACUUAAACUUCCUAAGCCUUAGUUUCUUUGUCUGGAAAAUAGGGAUAGUUAUACCUACCACACAACCACUUUGUAAUGAAUAUGUUGGAAAUUAUAUGCAAAUUGGCUUCCGUUGGUGUUUGGAACAUAGUAGGUUUUUAACUGGAAUAUAAUAGCUACCAUUAUCAGUAUCAUCAUAUUAAUUUAUAUUUCCAUCUUCAGCCCUUAACCCAGGAUCUUCAGUAAAUGUUGAAUUCUCAAAUUUGUUAAA
rnacentral:lncRNA from 1 species